AAGGGAACUGCGAUUGGGUGACAGCUAUGUGGUCGUUGGUUAACUUGCAGAAGGUAGCUCUCAGUUUACUCAAAUCCAGGGUGAUCUGAAGGAACUAUGAUCAGGUGACAGGUAUGUGGUCGUUGGUUAACUUGCAGAAGGUAGCUCUCAGUUUACUCAAAUCCAGGGUGAUCUGAAGGGAACUGCGAUCAGGUGACAGGUAUGUGGUCGUUGGUUAACUUGCAGAAGGUAGCUCUCAGUUUACUCAAAUCCAGGGUGAUCUGAAGGGAACUGCGAUCAGGUGACAGGUAUGUGGUCGUUGGUUAACUUGCAGAAGGUAGCUCCCAGGUUACUCAAAUCCAGGGUGAUCUGAAGGGAACUGCGAUCAGGUGACAGGUAUGUGCAUGUUGUGGGACAGCCAUGAUGCAAGAGCUGAGGCAGCUCCAGAUAUACUCCAACUCCGGGCGGCACAGAGGUUAGCUAUGCUGUGACUGGGUGACUGGUAUGUGCAUAUUGCAGGAUAUCUGUGGUGCAAGGAAGCUUCCUGGACAGGGUAGGAUAUCAUUUUAGGAUAUCACUUGACAGUGUUGUACAAUGAGAAAUUACUAUCACAACAAUGCUUCUGAAGUAGUCCCAUCUCAUCCCACCUCACAAGUUCCAUCACAAGAGGACAGACCAUUGAGUAAAGGGAGAGACAUACUGUAAAGGGUUACUCAAUAGAAAUUACAGAUGUUGAUUCAAUGAGAGAGCUCUCAAAAAAUGACAAGAUCUCAACGGAAAAGGAUGGUGAUCUUGAAAGAGAUUGAUGGGGUUUCUUGAAAGAGAAUGGAAUACUGAUCUCAUGAUGCACAUCUCAAAAGAAAUGACAAGGUUCUGAUGGAUAAGGAUCCCAUCUCACAGAGUAAGGAUGGGUUCAUGAACGAGAAGAAUGCACAAAAAAGGAUAAAUAAGAAUGAGAUCAUAAUGGAUAAGGAUUCAAUCUAAAUGGAUAAGGAUGUGAUCCCAAUGGAUAAGGAUGCAAUCCUAGGGAAUAAGGAUGCGCUCCUGAUGGAUAAGGAUAUUAUCCGAUGGAUAAGGACGGGGACAUGAGCAAGAAAAUGUUGGGAGCAUUGAUAGUGUCAAGGCGACAGAACAGCUUCAGCUCUGAAACUUCAUGGUAAUGUUUCCUCAUUAUGGUGACGUGUUUGUGUUGUGUGCCCCACGAUUGAGGAUAAUGGAUUACACAAGCCCCCCCGCUGCUGCUGCUGCCGCUGUCAGAAUUCCAAGGGAGGUAACCUCUGACUCAACAGGAAACGUCCUACAGACAAUCUAGAAGCAGAGAGAAGACUAAAACUGAAUGACACACGGAGAGGCGAUCCCCGACAAGACCGGUGCCAGCAGAAGGGGCCAUGUCUUGCCACCGAUCUAGCGAGUCUCGUCCCACCAACGAAGGCCAACAGCAUGAUGGCAAAUAGCAGCAAGUGGCAGUGACAAAG